ACCCUUUGUAAAAAGACACCAUAUUGGAUUAGGGGCCCACUCUAUCCCAAUAUUACACCUGCAAUGAUUCCAUAUCCAAAACACAUCACAAUCUGUGGUUGUGGGGGAUAGGAUCCGAACGACUGAAUUCUGGAGGGGAUAAACUGUAUAACAGGGUCUAUAGGGAGCUAAAUAAUGUUCCUCCAAAGUUCACGUCUACCCCAAAUCUCAGAAUCUGGACUUCGGUGGAAAUAGUGUUUUUACAGAAAUCAUUCAUUAAGUGCUUAAUUGAUGACAGUAACUUUCUGUUCUUUAGGUCCCCAUUGUGCGAUGCUUUGUUCCAGCAGCUAACAAGGGCCUGCAUUUGAGAUGAGAGAAGUCCAACACAGUUUUUGUCAGAGGUCCAGGGAGCAAGAUCUAGUCCUAGAGAAAGGGGGCAUGGGAACCAGAUUCCACAGUCAGGGUUCACAGAUUGAGUAUCAGACCCAAGAGGAGAACAGAGUGACUAAUGGUUAACCGUGUGGCUUUGGCCAUUAGAGUUCUGGGUUCAUAUCCCAACUCUAUUACAAAGCGGGUGAACCUGAGAAAAUGAUUGAAGCAUUCAGGGAGUUUGAUUCCAUGUCAGGUGAGGAUAACAGCCUCUGCCUCCUACGACCAAAGUGAGGAAUCAGAGAUAAUGUGUUAAAAGUGCUUAGCAAGCAUGUGAUCAAAGUAACUGGGAGAGACAUGGAAAUAGGAAGCUUCCUAAGGUAGACUGGCCAUGGUGGAGGUGUUUAUGUAGGGCUUGCAGAGUGAUGCCCACACGGGCCUACUAGGCUGGGUCACUCCUGCACCACAGGCAGAAGGACCCUGGGCUCCCUCCAGGUCCCAGUAGGGUGGGGAAGGAGCUCUUUAUACCAACAAGGGCAUUAGGCUCUUCUAGCUGUGUGAAGUGUCUGGGUGUGGGCCAAAUCUUCAGGAGGCUGCCAUAUUUUCUGCUUCUGGGGAGGGCAGGAGAGGUGCCAAUGUUCUCCCUCCUGAGCGCUCCACCCUCGACCAACCAACAAAAGGGUAAACAAUCCUAACCCUCGCAAAACCUAAAACGAUCCUUUUGCCAAGUUAAUAGUCCCUAUUCUCUUUGUUUGUCUGCAUUCUAAACUCCCGGGACACUGUUUCCAUGCACAUUGUUUAACAGACAGACGCAGCCUCCAUAGCAAUGACUGGCCAGGGGUUGAGGCCCUUUGUCAGAGAGCACUCUGUCUUGGGCGGGAUGGGGUCUGAUUUCAUCAUCUCUCCUGAGCCCUGGGAUAGUCCUCUGAUUUCCUAGGAAGUUUCUUUUAAUAGGAAAGGUGCUAAUGCCUCUAUUUUACUUCAUUACCUCUUACCGCCUGCCCUUUUUGGCUUCUUAUUUCCCUGAAAUUUUCUGGAACACUACUUCCCUCCCACCCCACUAAGACUUCAGGAAAUAUAGGAAAUUAGUGGAGAAGCCUUGGCCGCCACCACGGACAGGCUCUUCAAGGCAAGAUGGCAAGAGGUGUCAUGAGGCUACUCACUCACUCCUGGAAAAAAUGAUUCCGAAUGAGACACUCCUCCCAGGGAAGUCAAGCGGCUCUCUCAAGGGCCCUGAAGUCAGAGUCAAAACAGCUUCACCCCGAUCCGCUGUGUGCCUGUAGGCCUGCCAUUCUAAACCAGGGGCACUGACAGAAAAUGAAAAGAAUUAGCAUUCCAGGUUGGCAGCUUAGGCAGAAGUGAGUCUCUGCCUUUCCAGCAGAACAAUAAAGCCCAGGUGCUGGAUGCACCUGAGACCCACCGGUUUCAA